rnacentral:rRNA from 1 species
UACGAAGGGGGCUAGCGUUGCUCGGAAUCACUGGGCGUAAAGCGCACGUAGGCGGAUCCUUAAGUCGGGGGUGAAAUCCUGGAGCUCAACUCCAGAACUGCCUCGAUACUGAGGAUCUCGAGUCCGGGAGAGGUGAGUGGAACUGCGAGUGUAGAGGUGAAAUUCGUAGAUAAUCGGGAGGAACACCGGUGGCGAAGGCGGCGACCUGGGUAGAUACUGACGCUGAGGUGACGAAAGCGUGGGGAGCAAACAGG